CCUACGGGAGGCAGCAGUGAGGAAUAUUGGUCAAUGGGCGCGAGCCUGAACCAGCCAAGCAGCGUGAAGGAUGACUGCCCUACGGGUUGUAAACUUCUUUUUUAAAGGAAUAAAGUGAGGCACGUGUGCCUUUAUGUAUGUAUUUUAUGAAUAAGGAUCUGCUAACUCCGUGCCAGCAGCCGCGGUAAUCCGGCGGAUCCGAGCGUUAUCCGGAUUUAUUGGGUUUAAAGGGAGCGUAGAUGGGUUGUUAAGUCAGUUGUGAAAGUUUGCGGCUCAACCGUAAAAUUGCAAUUGAUACUGGCAGCCUUGAGUACAGGUGAGGUAGGCGGAAUUCGUGGUGUAGCGGUGAAAUGCUUAGAUAUCACGAAGAACUCCGAUUGCGAAGGCAGCCUACUAAACUGCCACUGACAUUGAUGCUCGAAAGUGUGGGUAUCAAACAGGAUUAGAUACCCCUGUAGUC
rnacentral:rRNA from 1 species